ACAUGUCUUUUUGGUUAUUUAAUAUAAAGUCUGACCUGUCCACUGAAUAUAGUUUUAAAGGGCCGCAGUAUUUUGACUGUGCAAAGGUAGCAUAAUCAUUAGUCUUUUAAUUGAAGGCUGGUAUGAAUGGUUGGAUGAGGUACAAGCUGUGUCAUAAAAAUUAAUAUUUGAAUUUACCUUUUUAGUCAAAAGGCUAAAAUUUUAUUAAAAGACGAGAAGACCCUAUAGAGCUUUAUAUAAUUAAUAUUUAGAUUAUUAAUAUUUUUUAAAUUUAAUUAUUUUAUUAUAUUUUGUUGGGGUGACAAUAAAAUUUAUAAAACUUUUAUUAUUAUUAUUCAUUAAUUUAUGUUUAAAUGAUCCAAUUUUAUUGAUUAUAAAUUUAAGUUACCUUAGGGAUAACAGCGUAAUUUUUUUUGAGAGUUCUUAUCGACAAAAAAGAUUGCGACCUCGAUGUUGGAUUAAGAGUAAUUUUGGGUGUAGAAGUUCAAAAUUUAAGUCUGUUCGACUUUUAAAUU
rnacentral:rRNA from 1 species